AAAGAGAAGCGACCUCGCGAGAGCAAGCGGACCUCAUAAAGUGCGUCGUAGUCCGGAUUGGAGUCUGCAACUCGACUCCAUGAAGUCGGAAUCGCUAGUAAUCGUGGAUCAGAAUGCCACGGUGAAUACGUUCCCGGGCCUUGUACACACCGCCCGUCACACCAUGGGAGUGGGUUGCAAAAGAAGUAGGUAGCUUAACCUUCGGGAGGGCGCUUACCACUUUGUGAUUCAUGACUGGGGUGAAGUCGUAACAAGGUAACCGUAGGGGAACCUGC
rnacentral:rRNA from 1 species